rnacentral:sRNA from 1 species
UUUUUUUGCUGCUUUGAGUUUCAGUUUUCUUUCUUUCCUAGAGUCUCCGAAGCCAUAGAUCUCUUAAGAACCUUCUGUCUCCAAACCGUGGCUGCUCGAUAAAUCAGACAGAACAGUUAAUCCUCAAUUUAAGCCUAAUCUAACCCUUAGAAACAGGAAUUAAGGAUAACCUAGACGACACAAAGAGGAUAAUGAAAGCCAGAGAGCACAGAAAUAGGCUUCUAGCAGACAUCAGAGCCUACAAGCCCUAUGCAGACUUGGUUUCAGAAAUUCGUAUUCUUUUGGUGGGUCCAAUUGGGUCUGGAAAGUCCAGUUUUUUCAAUUCAGUCAAGUCUAUUUUUCAUGGCCAUGUGACUGGCCAAGCCAUAGUGGGGUCUGAUAUCACCAGCAUAACCGAACGGUAUAGGAUAUAUUCUGUUAAAGAUGGAAAAAAUGGAAAAUCUCUGCCAUUUAUGUUGUGUGACACUAUGGGGCUAGUUGGGGCAGAGGGAACAGGACUAUGCAUGGAUGACAUUCCCCACAUCUUAAAAGGUUGUAUGGCAGACAGAUAUCAGGAUUCACUGUGUGGCUUAUGUCUUAGACAUCAACUCUAUUGACAAUCUCUCCUCUAAAAUGUUGGCAAAAUUCAAGCAAGUUCACAAAGAAGUAUUAAAUUGUGGUAUAGCACAUGUGGCCUUGCUUAUUAAAGUGGAUGAUUGCAGUGAGGUUCUUCAAGACAACUUUUUAAACAUGAGUAGAUCUAUGACUUCUCAAAGCCAGGUCAUGAAUGUCCAUAAAAUGCUAGGUAUUCCUAUUUCCAAUAUUUUGAUGGUUGGAAAUUAUGCUUCAGAUUUGGAACUGGACCCCAUAAAGGAUAUUCUGAUCCUCUCUGCACUGAGGCAGAUGCUGCGGGCUGCAGAUGAUUUUUUAGAAGAUUUGCCUCUUGAGGAAACUGGUGCAAUUAAGAGAGUGUUACAGCCCAGCAUUUGAUAUAAGUUGCCUUGAUUCUGACAUUUGGUCCAGCCUGUACUAGUGUGCCUCAAUGAGAGUCAAUCUCUAUUGACAGCCUGCUUCAGAUUUUGCUUUUGUUCAUUUUGCCUUCUUUCCUUGGAACAGUCAUAUCUCAAGUUCAAAGGCCAAACCUGAGA